rnacentral:rRNA from 1 species
AUUGAACGCUGGCGGCAUGCUUUACACAUGCAAGUCGAACGGCAGCGCGGGCUUCGGCCUGGCGGCGAGUGGCGAACGGGUGAGUAAUACAUCGGAACGUGCCCAGUAGUGGGGGAUAGCUCGGCGAAAGCCGGAUUAAUACCGCAUACGACCUGAGGGUGAAAGCGGGGGAUCUUCGGACCUCGCGCUAUUGGAGCGGCCGAUGGCAGAUUAGCUAGUUGGUGGGGUAAAGGCCUACCAAGGCGACGAUCUGUAGCUGGUCUGAGAGGACGACCAGCCACACUGGGACUGAGACACGGCCCAGACUACUACGGGAGGCAGCAGUGGGGAAUUUUGGACAAUGGGCGAAAGCCUGAUCCAGCAAUGCCGCGUGUGUGAUGAAGGCCUUCGGGUUGUAAAGCACUUUUGGCGGGAACGAAAAGGACUGUGCCAAUACCACGGUUCGAUGACGGUACCCGCAGAAUAAGCACCGGCUAACUACGUG